rnacentral:misc_RNA from 1 species
GAUGAAGAACGUAGCGAAAUGCGAUAAGUAAUGUGAAUUGCAGAAUUCAGUGAAUCAUCGAAUCUUUGAACGCACAUUGCGCCCGGUAGUAUUCUGCCGGGCAUGCCUGUUCGAGCGUCAUUUCAACCAUCAAGCCCCAGCGCUUGUGUUGGGGGCCUGCGGCUGCCGCAGCCCCCCAAAAGUAGUGGCGGGCUCGCUAUCACACCGAGUGCAGUAGUUCAUCUUCUCUCCGGUCUUGUGAGGCGGGUUCCGGCCGUGAAACACCCCACUACAUUCAAGGUUGACCUCGGAUCAGGUAGGAAUACCCGCUGAACUUAAGCAUAUCAAUAAGCGGAGGA